GCUCGGUUCGCAGCAGCUCAGCUCGGACUGCGUCUUUGGCCGUCGCAUCAGCGGUCGAACUUGACUACGAUAUUGGCAAAUUGGCCACCAAAUCUGUUCAAUGACGGAGAGUUUAUUGUCCUGCGUGGAUAAAAUACUGGGUUCCUGAUUUCGGGAUUAAAGAGAGGAUUGAUCAUAUCCUUUUAGCUCUGGUGGCUGCUGAGCGUGUCCUCGUUCUGAAUACUGUGAGAUCCAAGCUGCUUUUCGUAGUUACUACUACAGAUGAUGCCAAAGAUUCUGUAAAGGAGGAAAUUCGCUUGAGGAUGAGUCUCAGGACCAUAUAAAGAGGUAGCAGCUUCAUGAACUAGCCAUGCUGAACUCAAAUUUUAGAGAAGAGAGUCCAGGACCAAGUGGCAACAUGUCACCUCUCAAUACUAGUGGAAUGAAACGUCCCAA